AUUAAACGCUGGCGGCAUGCCUUACACAUGCAAGUCGAACGGCAGCACGGGGGCAACCCUGGUGGCGAGUGGCGUACGGGUGAGUAAAGCAUCGGAACGUGCCCUGGAGUGGGGGAUAACGUAGCGAAAGUUACGCUAAUACCGCAUAUUCUGUGAGCAGGAAAGCAGGGGAUCGCAAGACCUUGCGCUCUGGGAGCGGCCGAUGUCGGAUUAGCUAGUUGGUGGGGUAAAGGCCUACCAAGGCGACGAUCCGUAGCGGGUCUGAGAGGAUGAUCCGCCACACUGGGACUGAGACACGGCCCAGACUCCUACGGGAGGCAGCAGUGGGGAAUUUUGGACAAUGGGCGAAAGCCUGAUCCAGCCAUGCCGCGUGAGUGAAGAAGGCCUCGGUUGUAAG
rnacentral:rRNA from 1 species